CUAAACCACAGAAGGAAAUAGACAUCGAGGCUGAAUUUAUUUAUUUAAGUCAGGAAAAUACAGGGGAAAGCACCAUCCUUGAAUAAAUAUAUUUUCAAUCAUUGCUUCCAGAAUCGAGUUGAAACCUGUAUGGAAGGUGUUGGAGGAAGUUGAGACGACGUGACCACUGCUUUACCUGCGAGCUGGACACGGCCAAGUAGAGGCUCCCCACCCCUCAACCCCGUCCUUGGAAUGUACGCUUUGCCCACUGUUCCCACAGUGGGAGCCAUUUUCAAGGUCACAGCCUUGAGAGAGUAAGGUGUUGGGACCGUCUGGACUGAAUACAUGACUGAACCAGGUAAAGUCUCCAUCUAAACUCAAGAUGCAGAGAUCCAUUCAUCUCGCAGCUGCCCAGGACAAGCCUUCUAUGCAGUUAAAGUGGGUCAACCAUUAUGAAUGCGGGAAUGAAAAGAGAGGGCAUUGUGUGAAGAACAAAGACUCGGGUGGUUGCUGGGUCACAGGUUCCUCACUGAAAGUGAGCUGCAAGUUGAUUGGAUCUUACCUGGCAGUUCUCCCAAGACCAUAAGUUCUAGGAGUCACGCAUCAAAUCAGUAAACAAGAGGAAUAGCAUCUGUGAAAUACAUGUCUGAGAGCCUGAAGUCAGAAUGUGAAAAUGACUUCAAAGAUACAGCACUUAAAACUCAGGAUACAGAGGUAGAUAAUCAGGAGGAAAAGAAAGUCUUCUUUGACUAAGCACAGAAAUAUUGGACCACUGACUUAAAUUUAACAAGAGGCACAAAGAAGUACUUUUUGCUUCAAGAAUCUGGCUUGUGUAUAGUUUUAAGAAACUAAAUAUCAUUCCAACUUAAAUAGCAUGUUGACAAAUAUUUUUCCUUUUUACACUCCUUAUAAGACCAUGGAAAUAAAGGACAUUAUUACUGAAAAAGAACCUGUAAUUGUCUCUGUUGAUCU